rnacentral:rRNA from 1 species
UCAGUAACACGUGGCCAAACUACCCUGUGGAUGGGAACAAUCUCGGGAAACUGAGGCUAAUUCCCAAUAACGCUCCACCCCUGGAACGGGCGGAGCUGGAAACGCUACGGCGCCACAGGAUGUGGCUGCGGUCGAUUAGGUAGACGGUGGGGUAACGGCCCACCGUGCCAAUAAUCGGUACGGGUUGUGAGAGCAAGAGCCCGGAGACGGAAUCUGAGACAAGAUUCCGGGCCCUACGGGGCGCAGCAGGCGCGAAACCUUUACACUGUACGCAAGUGCGAUAAGGGGACUCCGAGUGUGAAGGCAUAGAGCCUUCACUUUUGUACACCGUAAGGUGGUGUACGAAUAAGGGCUGGGCAAGACCGGUGCCAGCCGCCGCGGUAAUACCGGCAGCCCGAGUGAUGGCCGAUAUUAUUGGGCCUAAAGCGUCCGUAGCUGGCCGGACAAGUCCGUUGGGAAAUCUGUUCGCUUAACGAGCAGGCGUCCAGCGGAAACUGUUCGGCUUGGGACCGGAAGACCUGAGGGGUACGUCCGGGGUAGGAGUGAAAUCCUGUAAUCCUGGACGGACCACCGGUGGCGAAAGCGCCUCAGGAGGACGGAUCCGACAGUGAGGGACGAAAGCUAGGGUCUCGAACCGGAUUAGAUACCCGGGUAGUCCUAGCUGUAAACGAUGCCCGCUAGGUGUGGCGCAGGCUACGAGCCUGCGCUG